UGGGUAACCUGCCUCAAAGAGGGGAAUAGCCUCCCGAAAGGGAGAUUAAUACCGCAUAAUAUGUUUAAGUCGCAUGACUUUAACAUCAAAGGAUUUUCUUUAGAACUUCCACUUUGAGAUGGACCCGCGGCGCAUUAGCUAGUUGGUGAGGUAACGGCUCACCAAGGCAACGAUGCGUAGCCGACCUGAGAGGGUGAUCCGGCCACAUUGGAACUGAGACACGGUCCAGACUCCCGUAGGGACGG
rnacentral:rRNA from 1 species